AGGGGUAUAGUUUAAUGGCAAAACGAAGGUCUCCAAAACCUUUGAUGUGGGUUCGAUUCCUACUACCCCUG
rnacentral:tRNA from 2 species